UAAAUAUAACACAAAUACGCACACUCACAUUGCAUUCAUGUGCCCAGGGGAGGAGUGUCUGCUCAGCUGGCCCUGACUGCAUGGUGUUCGAGGACAGAACCACAUGGUGACGUUUCUGAGUGCAGAGAGACUUCUCUUCUCUGUUUUAACGUCCUUGCAUGCUCAUGGGAUGAUGAUGUAGCCCCAAGGCAUGUGAUAACACUGUGGUCAGUGACAGGUAGGGCCAGCAUGUCCCUGAAGUUACGGUGGAGGCAACUGUCUUAUAAGGGAGCUAGAAGGAGGAGAGGGCUAAUUUGGCUCCUGGUUCCUGAAGACCUCAGCCUGUUCCGGCACAGGGGGUGGCAUUCUGGAUGUGGGCCUCACAUCGUCUCCUAGGUGGCUCUUAACUCCUGUCAGGCUGUCCAUGAAGGUUCUCCACCACAGGAGCUGAGACAUGACUAAGGACAUCACAGCUGCCACAGAGCAAAACUCCUGCUGUGUUGAUGCUGCUGCAGUUGGGCCCUGUGCUGUGGACUGAUACACAAAGGCACAAGAAAACAGCGUAGAGGCUUCCUCAUAUCAGCAAGCGGGUUGUAUACUUUGUUACUGGUUUUGAGACAGGGUCUCCCUAUGUACCCUAAGCUAUCUUGGAGAAUGCAAUCCCCCUGCCUCAACUUCCUGCAUGCUGGGAUUAUAGGCAUGCACCACCAGGCCCUGCUUACUAGUCUUUACUUAUUUAUUCAUUUAUUUACUAUAUUUAUUCAUGUGUUUGUAUGUGUGUACAUGUGGGUGACCCAUGUGCCAUGGCACACAUGUGGAGGUCAGAGAAUCUCUCACCUUUUAGUAAUCGGCUCAUUCCUUCCACUAUGUAGGCCCAGGGGUUGCCAGGCCUGGUGGCAAGUACCCUCUACUAUUGGGCCAUUUCACUGGCUCUGUGUUUUAUACUUUUUUUUUUUGAGACAGGAUUUCUCUGUGUAGCCUUGGCUGUCCUAGGCUCACUUGGUAGACCUGGCCAGGCUUGAACUCACAGAAAUCUGCCUGCCUCUGUUUCCGUGAGUGCUUGGACUAAAGGCGUGCACCACCCACGCCUGGCUUCUGUUUUAUGCUUUUAAUCAUUACUGUGUUUCAGUUAUUUCAAGGGAGGAAGGAUUUUGCUUACAUUUUAAAAUUAUAUUUGAGACUCAAGAGAUGGCCCAGCAGUUGAGAGCAAUGGUUGCUCUUCCAGGGGACCUGGGUUCUAUUCCCACCACCCACACAGUGGCUCAUGACUACCUGUAACUCUCUCUUUGGGGGAUCCAGCGUCCUCUUCUGGCCUGCAUGCACACUACACUAACAUACACACACACACCUACACAGACACACACAUAAUUAAAAAUAAAAUUUAGGAGGAAAAAAAAAAAACGUAGGUAACUAGGAUUUCUGCUUAGGUUUCCCUCCUUUGGCACACCACUUCCUCAGCACAUGCCUGUUCUUUUCCUGGGUUUUCUCUCUGGUCCUCCUUCCACUUCCUUCUUCUAAAGGAUGUCCAAAGAGGCAAACCUCAAGAAACAUGCAGAGGUGCAGCACAAUGAAGAUGCUCCCGUGACAGAAUGGGGAUGCUCGCCGCAACAUAAAUCACGUAGGGACAGCCUGGUGAAAAGCGGAGGUAGGCAUGGUGGUGCACACCUAUAAUCCUGGCACUUGGGGGCAGAGGCAGGAGACUCUCUAAGAGUUCAAGGCCAGCCUGGUCUACAUAGCAAGUUCCAGAACAGCCUGGGCUGCAUAAUGAGACCCUGUCUCAUUAAAAACAAACAAACAAACAUAUAUAUCUUAUGUACAUGUCUGAAAAUGACUAUUCACUAAAUAAACUGCAUUUAUCUAAA